CUAUACCGUGAAACUGCGAAUGGCUCAUUAAAUCAGUUAUCGUUUAUUUGAUAGUACCUUACUACUUGGAUAACCGUGGUAAUUCUAGAGCUAAUACAUGCUAAAAACCUCGACUUCGGAAGGGGUGUAUUUAUUAGAUAAAAAACCAAUGCCCUUCGGGGCUCCUUGGUGAUUCAUAAUAACUUAACGAAUCGCAUGGCCUUGUGCCGGCGAUGGUUCAUUCAAAUUUCUGCCCUAUCAACUUUCGAUUGUAUGGUCUUGGCUUACAAUGGUUUCAACGGGUAACGGGGAAUUAGGGUUCUAUUCCGGAGAGGGAGCCUGAGAAACGGCUACCACAUCCAAGGAAGGCAGCAGGCGCGCAAAUUACCCAAUCCCGACACGGGGAGGUAGUGACAAUAAAUACUGAUACAGGGCUCUUUUGGGUCUUGUAAUUGGAAUGAGUACAAUUUAAAUCCCUUAACGAGGAACAAUUGGAGGGCAAGUCUGGUGAGCAAUCAUGCUGACGCCAGCAAUAGUGAGUUUCAUUAGUCGACCGCACCUGUAGACUUGGGGUGUGCGGCGGCAAGACAACCUGGAUCGGGGAAGGCUAAGGCGGUAAUGCUAUGCUAAUCCCGAGCCGAGCUGCGCGAGCAGCCGGUGUAGAGCGCGCAAAGGUGUCGGUCCACUGAUUACAGUGGGCUUAAGGUACGUGCCGUCCCCUGUGAAAGCAGGUUGCAAGCCUGAGCUCCCCAAGAGUAUAGGGCUUGCGAGACGUAUAUAGUUGACUUAAACGGCCAGCAGCCGCGGUAAUUCCAGCUCCAAUAGCGUAUAUUAAAGUUGUUGCAGUUAAAAAGCUCGUAGUUGAACCUUGGGCCUGGUUGGCCGGUCCGCCUCACCGCGUGCACUGGUCCGACCGGGUCUUUCCUUCUGAGGAGCCGCAUGCCCUUCACUGGGUGUGUCGGGGAAUCAGGACUUUUACUUUGAAAAAAUUAGAGUGUUCAAAGCAGGCCUAUGCUCGAAUACAUUAGCAUGGAAUAAUAGAAUAGGACGUGUGGUUCUAUUUUGUUGGUUUCUAGGACCGCCGUAAUGAUUAAUAGGGACAGUCGGGGAUAUCAGUAUUCAAUUGUCAGAGGUGAAAUUCUUGGAUUUAUUGAAGACUAACUACUGCGAAAGCAUUUAUCAAGGAUGUUUUCAUUAAUCAGUGAACGAAAGUUAGGGGAUCGAAGACGAUCAGAUACCGUCGUAGUCUUAACCAUAAACUAUGCCGACUAGGGAUCGGGCGAUGUUAUCUUUUUGACUCGCUCGGCACCUUACGAGAAAUCAAA
rnacentral:rRNA from 1 species